CCUACGGGCGGCUGCAGUGGGGAAUAUUGCACAAUGGGCGCAAGCCUGAUGCAGCCAUGCCGCGUGUGUGAAGAAGGCCUUCGGGUUGUAAAGCACUUUCAGCGGGGAGGAAGGCGGUGAGGUUAAUAACCUCAUCGAUUGACGUUACCCGCAGAAGAAGCACCGGCUAACUCCGUGCCAGCAGCCGCGGUAAUACGGAGGGUGCAAGCGUUAAUCGGAAUUACUGGGCGUAAAGCGCACGCAGGCGGUCUGUCAAGUCGGAUGUGAAAUCCCCGGGCUCAACCUGGGAACUGCAUUCGAAACUGGCAAGCUAGAGUCUUGUAGAGGGGGGUAGAAUUCCAGGUGUAGCGGUGAAAUGCGUAGAGAUCUGGAGGAAUACCGGUGGCGAAGGCGGCCCCCUGGACAAAGACUGACGCUCAGGUGCGAAAGCGUGGGGAGCAAACAGGAUUAGAUACCCUAGUAGUC
rnacentral:rRNA from 1 species